UGGCGGAACCUGGCGGAAGCAGCUCCUCGCCGGUCUGCGCUCUCCUGAUCUUAGAUCCCGGCCCGUUCGGUGUCCCGGAAGGGAAGGCGCAGUGAGAUCUCACACCGCGCUGCUGGCGGUUCGGCUCAGAGUCCGAGCUUCUCUCGGUGCGUCCAAACUCGGACCGCAAGAGCAGCGGGACAGGCGCGCGAAGUUGUUCUAGUCGGCUCGUGGGAAAAGAGCUUACGCGGGCCGUGGGCGUCUGUCGGCGGGGGCGGCCCCGCGUGCAGCCAGUCCCAGGAGGGGGCCGUUGGUGACGACCUUCCGUCCCCCUGAACCCGACCCGGUCCCCCUGUGGCGCUGCCCCGCGGGGCGGCUGCAGCUCUCGAGCUCCUCUUUCUCCUGGAAGUGGCCGCUUGUGCGCACAGCUGAGACUUGUGCGGCUUCCCCUCACACCAGGCCUGGUUUGUUUCCGCUCACAGGGCCUUGGCCUGGGCCGCCCGAGUGACAGAUGCAGGCUCUCGGUCCUCCCUUGUGGGGGACGAGAGGAGGGGCCGCGUUCUUCGCCAGGGAAGGAAGGACAGGUCUGAGCACUUGCUGGCAGGGGCUUUGCCCCCCCCCCCCCCCCCCCCCCGCCCCGUUGGCACCCACAUUGCCCUUGGGGGUCAGGGCAGCCGCAGCCAUUAGGCCUGCAGUGGGGUGUGUGUCUUCCUCCCUUGUGUCCACCCCCUCCCGCUGCCCGACAGGCGCUCCGGCUGAGCUGCUCUUUCACUCGUCGUGGAAAAACCACUCUUGGCACGUUACUUGCCCUGAACAGAGUGAGUCGGGGGAAAGCUUGUCGACCGGUCACUCACGGUCAUCGGGAGGGCUGGUCUGGACGCGGUGUCUUCCCCAGUCGUCCGGCCGCCUCGGUGCACGGCUCGGGGUCCCCACCGGGCGGGCGCCCCCCACUGCAGCCCACGUUUGCCGCUCUGUGGUGCCGGGGUCAUUCUGAAGGAAGACGGCGGUGAGGUCUAACAAAAGACGGCCUGGAAUCCGUGUGAGGCAUCAGGUCUCUUGUUACAAGUGCGUAAACACGCAGAAAGGGUGUCUCCCUCGUGGCUGGGGGGAAGGGUGCUGGGGAGGACGAGGCCGCCUUCAGGGAGGCCCUGAGGAAGCAGCAGGGCCUCUGGAUGGGGGUGGGGGGGGGGGGGGGUCCUCCCGCGGAAGUUGGAGAAGACGGGCAGGGCAGACACCGUGAGCGGGGGUAGAGGGCAGCUCGCCAUCCUUCCCGUGAGGCCAGAAGCAAGCGUCUUCCGAGAGACCAGGUGCGGGACGUCGGCGGCAUCCGCACACCUCAGGACGCGGUCUCCGUCGUAACUGGGCGGGGGGGGUCCCCGGGGGCGUAGCCCUUCCUCCCACCCCCCGUUUUGGGGCCAGGGCCCCGGCCUCGGCUCUCCGUGCCGAUGGCGCAGCUGGGUGGGCCCCGUCCCCGCCGCAGGCCCCGUCAAGGCGCCGGUGGGCUCGUGAGCGGCUCGGGGCGCUUGGCCCGCUUCUACCCGGAGUCUGGUUCCAGGUGACUGGCUGGGUGCAGAGCAGUGAAGACCGCGGCUUUGGGAGGACGAGCUGUGGGGCUGGCAGGGCUCCGGGCGCUGUCACCGAGCCGCCGACCGGGGCUCUCGUGUCCCGUCACUGGGAUCUAGGCCGUACUUUGAGCUCUGUCGGCACGGGCCAAGGCCGUGCCUUUCUCUCUUCCCGGAGAUGCAGCCGGGGUUCUGCUCGGCCGCGGGGUUGCGCUUUGCGGGGCCCUGCUUUCCCUACACGAGUGACACUGGAGCGUGCGAGGGCCCCGUCGCGUUUACGAGAGGUCUCCCUUGGUCUGCGGUGUUGUGUCUUUCGCUUUUUCCCUCUGGGAUCGCGAGCGGAGGAAGCCCGAGGCAGGGGUGCUGGUCAGACGGCGCGCGGUUGUGGGUCGGAAGCGGCCGAUGCUUCACACUGGAGUCUUCCCGAGCUUCCCGUGGCUUCGAUGCAGACGCGUUCGGUCGGUGUUGCAGAGGAACAGCUGGUCUUGCAGACGUAACUGCGUUUUUGCUGAUUUUCCCGGAGUAGCUAGUUUCAAGUAGGUGUCCUGAACGGGGGGAGCCGUUGUGUUGUGAAUGAGUGGUCGCUUAGGUUUACAAACGGAGAGGUGGAUAGAGUUCAUUCUAGAAGGUAAUUGAGCAUUUCUCAGAUGCAGUAAGAUGAUACAAUUCUUAGCAGCCCGUGAGCUUUCGUGAGAACAUUCGUAUUUGUUAUUUUUCCAAAAGUUUGUCUAUUCAUUUUGAGAGAGAGCACGAGAGAGAGAAGAGAAUCUCAGCACAGAGCCUGACACAGGGCUCCAGUUCACGAACCGGGAGCUCAUGGCCUGAACUGAAAUCAGGAGUCGGACGCUUACCUGACUGGGCACCCCCCCAGGUGCCCCACGUUCAUGUUUGUUACGAACUCCAGCAUGGUUUCUGCUCAGGGUCCUGACUGGGAUGCCGCCUCUGAAGGGCCGGGCAGCGCAGGGUGUUGGCUGAUGGGGUGCCGUGGGGUUCACCAGGCACCGGUGCUGUCUUCUGUCUCACCGUACAGAUGAGGAAAGUGAGGCUCGGGCUCAGCGACCCACCUGGGUCUCGCAGCUGGAGGUGGCGGUGUUUGUACCUGGUCAUCUGAGUAGCCCUUGACCCCUGGCCCCCUCCGCCUGCCCUGUUCAUACCCCAGAGAUGCGUCCAGUGAGCUGCCCAGCUGACCGCAGAGCAGGGACGAUGGACAAGCAGAGUGGUCAUGGCUGUGCCCCAGGCUGCCUUUGGGUAGAAGGAGGGGUAGGGAGGCCCUUCUGAUGAGGCCUCGACCUUUGCUCCUGGCGAGGGACGCGAGGGCAGGAGAACGCCCAGUAUGGGCCUAGCAUGAGAGGCUGGAGAAGGUGUGGGUGACCUCGGCGGUCCAGGGCCCCUGUGUGCCUGGCAGGGACGUGGGCACUUGGGGUGGUGCUGCCCAAGCAGGAGCAGGCAGGCCGGGGGCCUGAGCCAGGAUGGGAGUCCCUACUGGUAGCGUGGAGAUGGCUCGUGAAGAGGGGCCCGGAGAGCCUGGCGAGGGAUGACGCUCCCUCGGCCUCUAGCGGUCACCGCCUGGUGUCGCCGCCGAGGACCUCGGCCGCAGGGAGGGGGCAGGUGCUCUGGUGCAGGGUCAGGACGGGGCCUGGUGUGCGGGGCCCCAGGAGAGGCUGGAGGCGGGGACGGGAGGUGGCGGGUGAGCCGAGGCAGUGCGCGGGGAAGGGGUGGCCGAGGCUCCCCGUGAGAGGGCCCCGCCCCGGCUCCCGGUUGUGGGAGCAGCUUUCCGGGAGCAGCUCUUUGUGCCAUGCGGGUCCCGUUUGCUCAGCGCCCCCUGCGGGUGGGGGGUUUGUAAAUGCUGUUUGCCUAAACCUGUUGGUGACUUUGAAGUGACGGGCAGGAAGGCUCUCACUUCACGCCAGCGUGCCUCGCGGUUUGCUGGGCAGCGGUGCGGCCACGGACCCUUUAUACGGCUUUCCUGCUGAGGACGUGCUCCCGUGGUGUUUGGGUCACCUGUGACGUGCCCGGCAAGCUUCGAGCGGCCCCGCAGAGCUGAGGCACCUGUCACAUUGUUAAGGGAGGAUUCUCAAAACGUUUGCUCUGAGACGGAAGCGGAACUUAGUAGCUUCCCGUUUUCAGGAUGACUGGAUUGGAUGUACUGAGUUGUAUUUUUUCAAGUGGCCUGGGGGCAGUUUGCAGGUUCAAUGAAAUAAAAACUAUACCUAGUGAUAAUAUAUCGACUUAGGUCGUAUGAAUUGCUUCUCUUGGUUGUAGGUCACGUGUCUUGUAGCCCCAGGCAGGGGCUGGUCCUAGAGGCUGCGCCCUUGCUGGCCAGCCUGCCUCGCCGCCGCCGGAGGGCCUCCUCUCCGGGCCCUGGUGGCCAGCAGACCGACCUCCCAGGGCCAGGUGAUGAAGUCGUGUUCUCUGGGCUUUUCAGGCUUCUUGUUUUUAUGUCAGUAGCGUCAAGAAGCCUUUUAAAUGAGGCUAGAGUAGUCCUCUUCUAAAGACUUCUUAGUUUUAAAGUCAGAUUCUAGAAAGACUGCC